rnacentral:rRNA from 1 species
UACGAAGGGGGCUAGCGUUGCUCGGAAUCACUGGGCGUAAAGGGUGCGUAGGCGGGUCUUUAAGUCAGGGGUGAAAUCCUGGAGCUCAACUCCAGAACUGCCUUUGAUACUGAGGAUCUUGAGUUCGGGAGAGGUGAGUGGAACUGCGAGUGUAGAGGUGAAAUUCGUAGAUAUUCGCAAGAACACCAGUGGCGAAGGCGGCUCACUGGCCCGAUACUGACGCUGAGGUGCGAAAGCUAGGGUAGCAAACGGG